rnacentral:misc_RNA from 1 species
AAGUCGUAACAAGGUAACCGUAGGUGAACCUGCGGUUGGAUCAUUAACAAAUACAAAAAUGUCCCUUGCUGCUAAAACAGCCUGGGCUUUUUCAACACCUGUGAAUGUUUAUUGUCUCUGGUGGGUUAAAGGCAGCGUCUCUAUAAUGGAGCGUUGUGUUUUCCACGCCGUGCGCAGUCUCUGCGCACGUGCAUGGAAUCCACCCACCGCCAAAUCUAAACUACAUGCAUAUCUAUUAGCCUUUAAAUUUACACAAGUUGAAUGAAAAAACAACUUUUGGCAACGGAUCUCUAGGCUCUU